GGAGUGAACGCGUCGGCGGCGGUGGCUUAACGCGUCGCGAAGUCGAGCGAAGCACUUUUUAGUAACUCUUCGGAGGGAAGGAGGAGGGUGGACGUUAGCGGCGGACGGGUGGAGUAACGCGUGGGCGAACCUGCCUUACACAGGGGGAUAACAAUUAGAAAUAGAUUGCUAAUACCGCAUAAGACCACGGUACUGCAUGGUACAGUGGUAAAAACUGAGGUGGUGUAAGAUGGGCCCGCGUCUGAUUAGGUAGUUGGUGGGGUAGAAGCCUACCAAGCCGACGAUCAGUAGCCGACCUGAGAGGGCGACCGGCCACAUUGGGACUGAGACACGGCCCAAACUCCUACGGGAGGCAGCAGUGGGGAAUAUUGCACAAUGGGGGAAACCCUGAUGCAGCGACGCCGCGUGAGUGAGGAAGUAUUUCGGUAUGUAAAGCUCUAUCAGCAGGGAAGAAAAUGACGGUACCUGAUUAAGAAGCCCCGGCUAACUGCGUG
rnacentral:rRNA from 1 species